rnacentral:rRNA from 1 species
UGGGCAGUUUGACUGGGGCGGUCGCCUCCUAAAAGGUAACGGAGGCGCCCAAAGGUUCCCUCAGAAUGGUUGGAAAUCAUUCGUAGAGUGUAAAGGCACAAGGGAGCUUGACUGCGAGACCUACAAGUCGAGCAGGGACGAAAGUCGGGCUUAGUGAUCCGGUGGUUCCGCAUGGAAGGGCCAUCGCUCAACGGAUAAAAGGUACUCCGGGGAUAACAGGCUGAUACCGCCCAAGAGUUCAUAUCGACGGCGGUGUUUGGCACCUCGAUGUCGGCUCAUCACAUCCUGGG